rnacentral:rRNA from 1 species
GAUGAACGCUAGCUGGAGGCUUAAUACAUGCAAGUCGAGCGGGAUUGGGUAGCAAUACCCAUGAGAGCGGCGCACGGGUGAGUAACGCGUACACGACCUACCUCUAACAGGGGGAUAGCCCUGGGAAACUGGGAUUAAUACCGCAUAUAAUUCUGAAUAAUAAAGGUUUGGAAUGAAAGCUGAGGCGGUUAGAGAUGGGUGUGCGUCUGAUUAGCUAGUUGGUAGGGCAACGGCCUACCAAGGCGAUGAUCAGUAGGGGGCGUGAGAGCGUGGUCCCCCACACGGGUACUGAGACACGGACCCGACUCCUACGGGAGGCAGCAGUAAGGAAUAUUGGUCAAUGGGCGAAAGCCUGAACCAGCCAUCCAGCGUGCAGGAAGAAGGCCCUAUGGGUUGUAAACUGCUUUUAUCAGGGAAGAAACCUCUGGAUUUACUCCGGAGCUGACGGUACCUGAAGAAUAAGCACCGGCUAACUCCGUGCCAGCAGCCGCCGUAAGAC